CCUACGGGCGGCUGCAGUGGGGAAUAUUGGACAAUGGGGGCAACCCUGAUCCAGCCAUGCCGCGUGUGUGAAGAAGGCCCUCGGGUUGUAAAGCACUUUCAGUGAGGAAGAACGCCUGGUGGUUAAUACCCAUCAGGAAAGACAUCACUCACAGAAGAAGCACCGGCUAACUCCGUGCCAGCAGCCGCGGUAAUACGGAGGGUGCGAGCGUUAAUCGGAAUUACUGGGCGUAAAGCGCGCGUAGGUGGCUUGAUAAGCCGGUUGUGAAAGCCCCGGGCUCAACCUGGGAACGGCAUCCGGAACUGUCAAGCUAGAGUGCAGGAGAGGAAGGUAGAAUUCCCGGUGUAGCGGUGAAAUGCGUAGAGAUCGGGAGGAAUACCAGUGGCGAAGGCGGCCUUCUGGACUGACACUGACACUGAGGUGCGAAAGCGUGGGUAGCAAACAGGAUUAGAUAUCCGAGUAGUC
rnacentral:rRNA from 1 species